rnacentral:lncRNA from 7 species
AAUCAGUAACAUCUGUGACUGCAGGGCAGCCUGAGUGGGAACGGUUAGGGGGUUAGACAGAUUUCCUGCAUUUUAAGGCUCUUUUCCUCUGAAGAGACUGCUUCAGGACAAUCCAAUUGCCUUUAAUGCUGCUUCUUCCCUUCUUCAUUUUAACCCUGUCUUUUCUCUCCCUUUCUUCCUCCCCUCCACCUCACUCAAGUUGUUUGGGUUUCAGAAGUAAAAAUGAUUUUAAGGACAUAUGCCAGCAUUUUGAAAAGUUUCAGUUUCAAACACAUGAAAAGGAAAGUCUGAAGGGAUUCCUAGAACUGUACUGCAGCUUGCAGAGGGAGUUAUCAGAAGGAACAAUCUCAAAGGUGACCUACCUUAGCCUGCCUGCAUGCCAGGGGAUGAUCUCCAUCUGUUGGACACAUGUCAUGUGAGCUGCUGACCUGCACUGCAGUAGCACCCUGCAGCACCCGCAAGAUGCUCCGCUGGCUGCUGUGUGAUACGGAGCAAGGAGCACCUGCAGCAGCCUGGAGGAAAAUGGGUCACUCUUGUAGGUACCUUAAAAUAUGAAGGAAAAUUCCUCCUGAAAGCUGUGGAGCUGGAAGCAGUUAUUUAAGUCCUUUUUAUGCAGAAGGGCUGCUCUUGCCUUAGUUCACAGAAAUUAAUGCUGAAGGCACCUGGACUCAAAGGAUGGAAGCUCUGCUCGCUUUUCUCAAGUUGGUUAUUCUGAUAUUUCUGGUGCAUCUUGAAUAUGUAGAAGCAGCAAAACUUGUCUCAAGGAAUAAAGGCAUCAGCACAGGAAGAGGACAGAUGGUGCAUGUUCCUGAAACUGAACCACGGCUCCAUGUUCCCAAAGAAAGUGAAUCCCACAAGGUAGAUGUGGUUUUAAAUGAACUGGGGACACUGACAGUUGAGAAAAGAAGGAAUGCCUCAGGUAGCUUUUAAAAGAAGAGCCUGGAGCAGUUUUGUGCUCACAGGAUGCUCUCUGCUCCUUGCAAUCCUGAGGCCUCAAAACCCACUUCACUUGCCUGGGGGUGCUGAGAUGCUGUACGACUGGCUUUCCUGGGCUGCACUCCAGCUGCGCAGUGUCUUGUGUUAAACUAAUUUAUUCUCUCCAAAGAGAUUACUGGCAUUUAAAUGGUUAUUAAUUAAGGAGAAUUUGUGUUUUUCUCACCUGAUUUUUUUUACAUGCUUGGAAAUAGCAUUUAUUCACGCAAGUUUCUGCUGAAAAACGACUUAUUAAUUCACCUCAGCCUGUGGCCAGCAGUCUUUUGAAGCAAAAGUGCAAGGACUGGUGUAGCAUGGACUGAGCCUUUCAUACUUAGGUUUACUGGAUGGUAGACUACCAUAGAAAUACUUCCUCCCAUAUGUACAAGGAAGCUGGACUCAAGUAUUGCUCACUUUGGAAAAAUGCCCCUGCAAGUUCCUGAAUUUCUUUGGCACGCAUAACAGAGUGGACAGAAGCAUCUCAAUCUUCACGUGUGGUGGUGUUGGGCCAGGUACAGCCUGCCUACAUGGAUCAUGUCUCCAGAGACACUGCUUACUGCUUUGGGUAAAGCAGUGGCAGUGGAGAAGAAGCAUUUACCUGAAUAUCUGCAAAAUGCAAGCAGAAGGAAAGCUGUGGUUCAAGGUGCUGAAGAAAUGCCAAAGGACAAGCUAAUGCUGCAUGUUGCUAGCCACCUGCUGCAGGAUACUUCACCCAUUUGGAGAACCGUGCAUAGAACACUACCACCUUCAGUCAGCAGGAUGUGUCUGAUACGAGAGCUGCUACCUGCCACCUGAUGUGUCUCACCCUGGGAGACAGGACGAUGAAGUAAUGGAGCCUGGCUGUCUGCAGCCAGGGCUGCUGUACUACAUCCAAAGCAAGCUUGAAGUCAGCAAGUGCUGCAUUAAUCUUUCUGGGAGUGUUUGUUUUGCUUGUUUUGUUAGGCUACAUUUCAAGCAACUGAUAAUGUGUUCGUGAGCAGUUCUCCUGUUGCAGCCCAUUUUUCAAAGGAAGUGUGAAGACCGAUGCUCCAAAGGUUUGGUGGAACAUGAGUGUGAAGGGUUAUGUAUGAUCAUGCUUGAAAUGUGUGAGCUGACAGUGCUUUCAAGUGCAUGUUAAUAUGUCUGUGCAGGUACUUUUGGGAUAGAGAGGUUAUGGCUUUGUGUGAAGUCUGAUCAGUGUUUUAAAAAAUACACCUUUGUCAUGGUUCUUCUUUAUGGAUGCUAAUUGUGCUAGUGCAGCUACCUCACUGCAAUUGAGUUGUGUAUUUAUUUACUUACUGAUAGUCAAGUCUUCUAACUAAUCAAGGCUAAACUCUGAAGCUUUCUGAGGAUUAAACAAUAAAUGCUUUAUUGCUUAAAGCUUUUUGAGCAU